rnacentral:rRNA from 1 species
GAUGAACGCUGGCGGCGUGCCUAAUACAUGCAAGUCGAGCGAACAGAUGAGGAGCUUGCUCCUCUGACGUUAGCGGCGGACGGGUGAGUAACACGUGGAUAACCUACCUAUAAGACUGGGAUAACUUCGGGAAACCGGAGCUAAUACCGGAUAAUAUAUUGAACCGCAUGGUUCAAUAGUGAAAGACGGUUUUGCUGUCACUUAUAGAUGGAUCCGCGCCGCAUUAGCUAGUUGGUAAGGUAACGGCUUACCAAGGCGACGAUACGUAGCCGACCUGAGAGGGUGAUCGGCCACACUGGAACUGAGACACGGUCCAGACUCCUACGGGAGGCAGCAGUAGGGAAUCUUCCGCAAUGGGCGAAAGCCUGACGGAGCAACGCCGCGUGAGUGAUGAAGGUCUUCGGAUCGUAAAACUCUGUUAUUAGGGAAGAACAAAUGUGUAAGUAACUAUGCACGUCUUGACGGUACCUAAUCAGAAAGCCACGGCUAACUACGUG